rnacentral:rRNA from 1 species
AUGCACCAAGUACUGCACAAUCCACUUCAUUUGAACAUGCUGCUGUACAUCAGUUCUGUGUUGAAGUUCAAUUGCUGUAACUUCGAUUCUGCGUUGGAACUGAGUAGACUUGUGCAAUUUAGGGUGUCAAUGGAUUGGAUAUAUCUGACUGGCACAGCACGAAAUCUAAAUCAAAUUGUCCCGGCUGUGAUAUUUGCUAUCUGGAAAGAGAAGAUCGUAAGACACACACUUAAGUUGUUUUUCUUGAUUUUUAAUUGUCACCUAGCACUGCCGCCAGUGCUUAGGUUGUGCAUUUGUGGCGGCAUAUGCAGUACUCACAUCAUGGAGGAGGGUUGCGACUUGCAAGUGUGGCCCUGUGUUGGUAACCUAGCCCUCACAUCACUCUUCUCUGUGGCUCAUUGGAGGGAAGUGCUUGAUAAAUCGAAUAUAUUAGCAACGAAUUUGGUUUGUAUUAGUUAA